GCCUGAUUGGCUUAGUGGUUGAGCAUAUGCCUUUGGCUCAGAGCAUGAUCCAGAGUCCUGGGAUUGAGUCCCGCAUCGGGCU
rnacentral:tRNA from 1 species